rnacentral:snoRNA from 1 species
AAUCCAUGAUGCGGGUCAUUGGCAUUGAAGGUCUUUGAAUCUCUCCAACGCUUCGUAUAGUGUCUCAUCUUCCUUCAUUCAAAAAUUGGAUAUUUCUUUCCUCAACCU